CCUACGGGAGGCAGCAGUAGGGAAUCUUCCGCAAUGGGCGAAAGCCUGACGGAGCAACGCCGCGUGAGUGAUGAAGGUCUUCGGAUCGUAAAACUCUGUUAUUAGGGAAGAACAAACGUGUAAGUAACUGUGCACGUCUUGACGGUACCUAAUCAGAAAGCCACGGCUAACUACGUGCCAGCAGCCGCGGUAAUACGUAGGUGGCAAGCGUUAUCCGGAAUUAUUGGGCGUAAAGCGCGCGUUGGCGGGUGAAAGCCCACGGCUCAACCGUGGAGGGUCAUUGGAAACUGGAAAACUUGAGUGCAGAAGAGGAAAGUGGAAUUCCAUGUGUAGCGGUGAAAUGCGCAGAGAUAUGGAGGAACACCAGUGGCGAAGGCGACUUUCUGGUCUGUAACUGACGCUGAUGUGCGAAAGCGUGGGGAUCAAACAGGAUUAGAUACCCGAGUAGUC
rnacentral:rRNA from 1 species